GUGACAUCAGCGGUCAUGGAGAGUCUCCAUCCAGCUGGAUCACUGUCACAGACAAACACACCACCACACCUCCACCUACAUCCACACCUCCACCUACAUCCAUCUCGCCUCCUGUUCUCUCUGUGUUGUCCUGUGUUGGAUCAGUGUGUGUUGGGGUUCUACUGGUGUUAUUGGUUCUACUGGUGAGACAAUGUAUUCACAGGAAACCUGAAGCAGAACAAGAGAAAGCUGGAGAAGAUGAAGUCAUCACUGACAUCAUGUGCAGUAUAAUCAACAUAUCAAAAAAUCAACAAGAGCCAAUCAGAGAAAUCCGAGAGAGUUAUUCAGCUGCAGUCUACUCAGCAGUGAAAACUGAAGAUGUGAGUUACGGAUGAACAGCCAUCAGAGCCAGGAGGCCCAGACUUUAAACCAGAGCCAGACGUCGUCUACUCUUCACUGAAGUAGUCCACCAGUCCAACCACUGACGUCCAGCUGCUGGGCUCCAACUAGUCCCCCCAUCACCUCAGACCAGAAGAGAUCCACAAGUUAAAAAUAUAUUUUUUAAUAUGUUUUUAUCUAACUUGUAUACGUUAUUUUGUCCUAUUUUUAAGUGAAUUUGCUCUAAAAUUUAAAAUGGGAACAGUAAACAUGUUAAAAUGUUCUGGUGACUGUGGUUCAGAUGGUAGAGCAGUUUGUCAGGUAAUUCUUGGGCAGGAUACUGAACUUUGCACUUCCCUCAAUGCAUACA